UACGAAGGGGGCUAGCGUUGUUCGGAUUUACUGGGCGUAAAGCGCACGUAGGCGGAUCUUUAAGUCGGGGGUGAAAUCCCGGGGCUCAACCCCGGAACUGCCUUCGAUACUGGGGAUCUUGAGUCCGGAAGAGGUGAGUGGAACUCCUAGUGUAGAGGUGGAAUUCGUAGAUAUUAGGAAGAACACCAGUGGCGAAGGCGGCGCACUGGUCCGGUACUGACGCGGAGGUGCGAAAGCGUGGGGAGCAAACAGG
rnacentral:rRNA from 1 species